rnacentral:lncRNA from 1 species
CCAUGAGUCACAGCAGCUGGCUCAAGGCUGGGAGGGGAAGUAAAACACUAAAUCUAAGGACCACUCUAUUCACCCUACAGUGACUGCUCUUUUUCCCUCCUGCCACGGUCCAGGGUAGCCAGAUACUUCUCCAGGCUCUCACUUAUGUGGGCUUUCCUGCUGGCUACAUCACUGAAAUAGAAUCCCCUAGUGGCCCUUCUCCCUCUACAGCUCUGGUGUUACACUGAAAACCUAGAAGUUUCAAAACAGACAAGGGAAAAAGAGAAACAUCAGAAAGUCUGAUUAAAGUAGAAGCAUCAUAUUUCUAUCAACGUAUCCACUGUGUUUGGACACAAUUGCAGGCCCUUGACAUCUUUUGCUUGGAUUAUUGCAACAGCCUCCAAAGGGACUCAUCUGUCUCCAGGACACCCCUCCAUCCUCCUCUGCAUCAUCACCAAGGGAACCUUUGUAAAGCAAAGGCAUGAUCAUGCUUAUCACCUGGUGGAAACCCUUCAGAGACUCUCCACUCCCCAGAGCAUGCACCACAUCCUU